GACGAACGCUGGCGGCGUGCCUAAUACAUGCAAGUCGAACGCACAGUUUAUACCGUAGCUUGCUACACAAUAAACUGUGAGUUGCGAACGGGUGAGUAACGCGUAGGUAACCUGCCUGGUAGCGGGGGAUAACUAUUGGAAACGAUAGCUAAUACCGCAUAAUAUUGAUUAUUGCAUGAUAAUUGAUUGAAAGAUGCUAUUGCAUCACUACCAGAUGGACCUGCGUUGUAUUAGCUAGUAGGUGAGGUAACGGCUCACCUAGGCGACGAUACAUAGCCGACCUGAGAGGGUGAUCGGCCACACUGGGACUGAGACACGGCCCAGACUCCUACGGGAGGCAGCAGUAGGGAAUCUUCGGCAAUGGACGAAAGUCUGACCGAGCAACGCCGCGUGAGUGAAGAAGGGUUUCGGAUCGUAAAGCUCUGUUGUAAGAGAAGAACGGGUGUGAGAGUGGAAAGUUCACACUGUGACGGUAUCUUACCAGAAAGAGACGGCUAACUACGUG
rnacentral:rRNA from 1 species